rnacentral:rRNA from 1 species
AACGAACGCUGGCGGCAGGCUUAACACAUGCAAGUCGAACGGUUGUAGCAAUACAGCAGUGGCGCACGGGUGAGUAACGCGUGGAUAUCUGCCUUUUGGUUCGGAAUAACUCCGGGAAACUGGAGCUAAUACCGGAUGGUUCCUACGGGAUAAAGAUUUAUCGCCAAAAGAUGAGUCCGCGUACGAUUAGCUAGUUGGCGGGGUAAUGGCCCACCAAGGCGACGAUCGUUAGCUGGUCUGAGAGGACGAUCAGCCACACUGGGACUGAGACACGGCCCAGACUCCUACGGGAGGCAGCAGUGGGGAAUAUUGGACAAUGGGGGCAACCCUGAUCCAGCCAUGCCGCGUGAGUGAUGAAGGCCUUCGGGUUGUAAAGCCCUUUUGGCGGGGACGAUGAUGACGGUACCCGCAGAAUAAGCCCCGGCUAACUUCGUGCCAGCCGCCGCAGUAAGAC